GUGCUUGCUUCAGCAGCACAUAUACUAAAAUUGGAAUAAUACAGAGAAGAUAGGCAUGGCCUUUGCCUAAGAAUGGCAUGCAAAUUCAUGAAGCACUCCAUAUUUUU
ensembl:snRNA U6 U6 spliceosomal RNA